rnacentral:misc_RNA from 1 species
CCGGCGAAUUCGCGGAUCGCGCGAUCACGCGCGAGUGGAGCGUCUGCCGACUGGCGUGUCGCCGUCGCGCUCGCCGGCGUCCGAUGCGCCCGUGAAGGAGAGGCCCCCGCUGACGGACCGACCGAGCCAGAGGCGCCCGCUCCAGAGGCCGAGGCCGAGGCAGAGGCAGCCGACUCCAGAGGGACCGAGAGCGGCGGGCGGAGCGGCGGUCGCGGGCACACGGUACUCUCCGCUCGAAUGCUACUCGCGGGCGGCGGGCGCCGACCGGAUGGCGGAGCGCGGCUGACCCGGGCCCAGAGGCCGCGCGCCGCCGCGACCGAUAUGAACGACGCCGAGCUCGCGAGCGCCCCAGCUCGAGCCUAGGUAGGCGGAGGUUAGGGCGGCCGGGCCGAGACAAUGAGCGCUGACAACCGUCCCCGGUCGAAGCCGCUCCUCGAACCCGAGCACGCCGAGCCCCCGGGGGACGCCAGGAAGAUCAAGAAGGAACGCGCCGACGCCGAGGCCGACGAGACUGACGCCGCCCCCGCUCCCGCCCCCGCCCCAGCCCCCGCGACCGUUAACGGCGCCGACGAUGCCACCCGAGAUCGGAGUGCUCCCCUGGAGGUACAUCGGUUUCGGAACCCCAGGCCUUCCCAGACUGGAGCCCAGGUCUCCAACGGCUUCCACGGAGGGGCCAACCUCCUGCAGGACGUCCUUUCCAGCAAGUUUGCCGGCCUCGCUCAUCACGGUCCUGCUGCUAAGCACGACAAGAUCAGGCUCAUGAUCGAGGAUAGUAUCGGGGAAGAGUCCAAGUGCCGCGUUCAGGAUAUCUUUUCACAAGUCGAGCAACUUAAGACGGAGGAGAAGCUAUUGCUGUACCUGAAGUUACCGCUGUCGCUGACCAAUCCAGGAGGUAGCGUCGAUCCACUGAGACUGCCAUUGAAUCCACUAGGCAAUCGUUAUGAGAUCCAUCAGACCAUCAUGUGGAUCAAGACGCAUCUCGAGGAGGAUCCUGAUGUUUCUUUACCGAAGCAGGAGGUUUACGACGAAUAUAACAUGUUUUGUAUAAGGAACUCCAUGAAACCUCUGUCGACGGCGGAUUUUGGGAAGGUGAUGAAGCAAGUCUAUCCUAGAGUGAGACCUCGCAGGCUUGGUACGCGUGGAAACUCUCGUUACUGCUAUGCUGGCAUGCGAAAGAGAAUCAAAUUGGACCCCCCAACGCUACCAUCGGUGACUGGCGUGCCAGCUGGCGACGAGGAGGAGGAGAACCUCACCGAGGAAAUGUUAGGCGCAGCCUCGACAUUAAUUCGUGAGUGGGCUGAAAAUUUGCUCAGCUUGAAAUUUCCAACGCUGAGCGCCUUGGCGCGUCAUCUCGUCGACAACCUUUGCGUCGAUACGAGAUCUCUAGCUGCUGUUUGCAUCCUAUGUGCUUCCGGCGAGAGCCAAGCGUCCACCGAUAAAGAAAUACCGGCACUCGCUGUUACACCGACACCAGUGAAAUCUGGGAAGUUGAGGGAAGCGCAACUGCAGCUGCAACGUAAGCUACAACAGCGCGAACACAUUCGGGAUCAGAAGCAUAGACACCUUGAUACUGUUUUACAGAAUCAGAACAAAGAGAAGACUGUAGAUAAUAAUAAGGGUGGAGUAGGUAGCAAGGGAGGCAAGAGGAGCAAAGCGAGUCAGUCACCGCAAGGCGCGAAUCCAUCCUCCGGUGGAUUGGCACCGAGCAAGCAGAACCAGUCGAUUCAGCCUGCCGGUCGACAGCGAAAGGUCCUGAAGCCAUCGGCCUCCCAGAGCAGCGAUCCAACGGUGGUCUCCCUGCAAUCCAACUGUGAUAGCCUAUCGGUACAAUCGUUCGACGAGUCUAGGAGCAACGGCGAGGCCGUGCUGGUGCUGGCGAGCGACAUCACCUCCCCGAAGGCCGCAAAGUCGCGCAAUCCCAGGAAACGAGGCAACCCAGCCACCGGUCAGCAUCCUUCGGAGUCCAGUCCGGAGAAGCAGGCCAAGCUGGCGGAGGCUGGCAAGUCGUCGGCGACGACGUCCUCGUCGUUGGCGAAGCUCGCGUCCACCCAGCGCCCCGGGAAGGUCUCCGUGAUCCUUGCCAGUAGCCUGAAGCCGGCCCGCUGCAAAGCGUCGGCCGAUCGGGGCGAACCGAAGGACUGUGAUAUCGAGUCAUCGACUCGGACCGUCGACAACAAGGCGAACGGUACUCAGGGUCUCGCGGAGGCCUCGGCCGAGGCUUCCGUCAGGGUGAAGAGCCAGGCCGGAUUGGUGCAGGAGGAGGCUGCCGGGACCGAGAGGAACGAGAAACUCUGCGCCAUCGAUCCGGACUCCCUGGACGAUUACCUGAACGGCGGGAACAACUCCCAGGAGCAGGAGGAAGAGCUGCUCCAGUAUUUCCAGCAGAGCAACUCUUCCGGCUCGGACGUCGAGGCCAACAUUAUCGCGGAGACCGAGAGGAUCUCCAGGUCGGACAAGGUCUCUCAGCUCCGGCUGAUCCUUCAGCAGAACCUGAAGGCCGGGGUCGCCCACGUCCCGAUGGAACUUAACUCCGGAGCGGCUGGAGCGGCUGCGCGAAUCGUCAGCACCGAAAAGAGGGACCCUGCCUCGAAGCAUAAUCUGAUACUUCCCACCCUGCUGAACCACUUGAGCCACACCAGCACUCGUAGGAGGGUCAGCUUCGAGACCAACGUUGUAGAACAUAUCCAAGACUCGGGCAACACGCCUAAUACCGUCCCCCAGAGUCCCAACACUCGGCGCAAGAUCUUCAAUUUCACGCCGAUCUCGCCGGGACCCCAUUCCCCGAUAAACGGGAGGGCCUCGAAGCCUAACUCGGCGAAUGCUAGCCCUUUCGUCUCACCCAGGAACACCCCGGUCCCGAGAUCCAGGAGCAACAUUCAAUCCAGUUCGAGGUCCAGAUCCACCCAGAAAAACCUCUCCCGGUCUACAUCCUGUGGAGUGCCCUACACCGCCAGGACCGAGACCUUCGUAGUGCCCACCACUGGUCCCGAAUUGACCAGGCAGAUGUCAGCACCGCAGUCUCCGCUGACCUGCAUCAGAUCCACCGAAGUACAGGCUCCUGUCGUGGCGGUUGCUCAACAAGUCACCACUCCGGUGUCCAAGGAAAGAGGAGCUCCGCAGCCUGCUUCCUUCUUACCCUCGGACUUAGCUCCGCAGAAGCAGCUGGUAAUAAACUAUCCGAGUCAGGAGAAUUUACAGGAAAUUAAGACAGCCUAUCGGAAGAGCCAGCCUCUGGACCAGGAGAUCAGCGAGCUUUUCCACGAUGGCAAGCAGUACACCAACGAGCAGCUAUACUACAGGUCCCAGUCGGUGCCUCUUCAUCGGAUGGUGAACCCCAAUCUAAUGUCUCCAGUGUCCGCUCAUCAAUAUCAUUUGCCAUCGUUCCAAAGUCAGAGCUUCGAUCCAUCGGCCAGCAGUUCCAUAGCUCCUACUCCGGUGCCCAGUGAGUUUAAUGACUUCGUCGGCCCGAUCGGCCAGGCCGACAAUGGGUCGACCUAUCUUCUGGACGAGGUCGAUCCCAACUUCAUAUCGGACAGCCAGCAAUUCCUCAUCGGAGACAAAGAGAUCACUUCGGAGAACAUCAGCAACCUUCUGAACAUCCUCGACGAGGAGGGCACGCAGAACUUGCAAAUUCUGCCCGACAACACUGGAGAGGAGGCCCUCAUCGAGAGCAACCCCAUCGUCCUGGAGGACCUGCCCACGUCGAAUUUAAACAUCCAGAUCAUCCAAUCCAGGUCUUACCCCAACACUCCGCUGCCGCCGGCUCUGUCUUCGUACCCCCCAAAUUACACCGAAGAUAGCAACGGGUCCAGGUCUUACCCUUCGACGCCUCUGCACACCGUUCAACUGAGAGAGACCUAUCCUGAGACCAAUGAGCCGAUGCUCUCCAGCCCCACGCUGAACUCUCUGAACCUCCGGAGCGAAACGGUUGCUCCAAAUGGGUCCAAUGGCGUCUGCAGGAACGUUUGCGCGGAACUACUCGAGACUGAUUUCUUAGCUACCGAUACGAAUACGGAGACCGACGACCUGGACCCUUUGGGGAAUUUUGAUGGGCUUCAGGACCCAUUGGCACCGCUCUUCAACGAGGUAACCGAACCCAAUCCAUAGGGCGGUAUCUACCCACCCGUCAUUGGAGACGAUUUAGAUCACUCCGACGAUAUUCGACCACUUUCUGAACAUCUUUGAUGAAGGGGGUACCGAAGAAGGAACACUCCACGUACCCUUCGGGGAACUUUGACGGACCUCAGGACCCAUUGGCACUGCUCUUCUACGAGGUAACCGAACCCAAUACGUAGGGAGGAAUUUACCCACUCGUCCUCGGAGACGAUUAGAUCGCUCCGACGAUAUUCGAUCACUUCCUGAACAUCUUUGAUGAAGAGGGUGCCGAAGAAGGAGCACUCCAAGGGACCCUACUGUCUUAGCUCGCCGAGCUCCUCCACUCUGAACACCUGUUUACACGUCAAGGCUCUACUCGGGCACUCCGCUGCUCUGAGGUGCUCUCUUUGUGCUUUGCAAACUAUCUAGAAGACAGUUCUCAGACUCCACGCUCAACUCUUUCAACUGUCGAAGUGAAACAGUUGCAGUUAGUGGAUCCAGUGGUGUACCUAGAAGAUGGCUCACCCUCGGCUACUUCAGACUGAUUUCUUCGCCAGGGAUCCUGUCUGUAGUCAACAUGCUGGGUCGUUUGCGUAGCAUCAACGAAGAGAAUCACACGUCAACACUGCACAUCUACAAGAUGACUGGACCUGGUCCGUGGAUUUGGAUAUAUUAGAAGCACUGCCAUUAGAUUAUUUCACCGAUAAUCGAGGUUGUUCGAUUGAAAGGAAAGGUGUUCGUCUCGUGGAUAUCUUCCUCCUUGAUGUUCAAUUAGACGUCUUUCGGAUUAUCUCAAAUGCCGUUGGUUGUCACACCAGGACCUCUACGUCACACUCCAUAUUCUUUCCGCCGUGUCACUAGUGCUACAGUGCUCCUUAAUUGUCUAAACCUUCGAGAAAAUUUAUAUGUUUAUUAACAGUGAUACUUUCAGGGUGUGAAAAUGAUAAGAGAAUACGGUAACCUGUUUUAUUCGCUGAUACCUUGUAUCGGGUCGAAGAGGUGUUUUAUUCUAACUACUUGGAAUGCCCAGUUUAGAGAAGUUCUUAACUCGAGUUAUAUACCUCAGGGUAUCGGAGAGCUCAAAAGUUGACUCCGUUGUACAAAUUAUUUUUUAGGACCUCACUAGAUGAUUAGGACGUACGCAAUUGUGACAAGAUGUUUUCAACUCGCUGCGAAGGAAGCUUCUUUAAUGUUGUUGAUCGAUCACACGACUCUGGAGGCACUCCUGGUGGUGAUCUAGAAAACAGUUUGGUGGCUCUUUGGUAUCGGGGUCCUCGAUUACUCUGAGAUCCAUCUCGGAGACAUAUCAAAUGUUCAAGGAAGAACGACACAUAGACAAUUCAUUUGUUCGAAAUGAAAAAAAAAAAAAAGAAGUGUACCGCUGUAUUUUAUAUGUAGAGCCCAGAGAGUAGCAUUCUAAGAUGUUUAAAUUGUUUACCACAUUUGAGAAAGUUCUUCACAUAUGUCUAUAUAUAUAUAUAUAACAUGUUUUGGAUAUUAAAAGUUUUUAGGAAUGAGAGUAUAUAAAUCUUGAGAAAUUAUCUGGAAAGUGCAAUUAAAAUUAAUUUGUUUAUUAUAUAGUACGACUUUCGUUAUUUGGUUUAGAUUGAUCGUUUUAGGGUAAUUUUAACGUAGAUGAUAUUUACUUUAAAUAUACUUUCGGGGUAAUUUGAGAAAUUAUAUCAUCGGCAAAUCUUACCGUAGGUCUAAAUUAUGUUCAAGUGUUUAUGUUAACGGUACGAUCUAAUUAUUUCGGUGCGAUACGAGGGAUUUCGUUCGUGCAAUAAAGUUCGAAUUAAGGGAAUUCAUUUCGAAAAUGGCGAACCCAUCACCGAAGAGCCACCAUUCGUAUUUUAAAUCGCGCCUCGUCCGGUUGCGAUUUCAUCGAUUUUAUUUAAAUUAACACGUACUGAAAACGGUAUCAUUGAAGCAAAAGGAGGGUUUUGUAGCAUUCAAUUAACGGGCGAUCGAGUCACAAUUUCUUUCCACAUGCGAGCAGGCUUCUGAAGAUUUUUCUUUUUUGUUUUAAAUUAUGAGACGAACAUUGUCAAGAACAUCAGUGUGGUCGUUGCAUGCAUUUUCUGUUCUCCCGAUUCUUCUUUAUUAAUUAAUAUAACGGCGUACAAUUCGAGAUAAAUGAAAGGCUUCCCUAAUUUUGCACGAAAAUAAUGUACGAUUCUUUUUUGAACUGACAUAAACGGCAGUGACGACAUCGCCGUCAUGUUUCGGAUCUCCGAAAUACCGUUUUUUUUUUUGGUUUUAAUCGGAUGGGAAAUUUAAGAUGCAAGUAUUGAAAUUGUACCACAAAACACUGCCGUAGUAUUAGAUAAGGAUUUACUCCACAUUUAUGCAGCGACUGCGUUGUCUUUUAGGAUUCGUGAAUGUGUGCAACGGCAGGUCCUUUUUCCGGUAAUUGAUCAUCCGUGAUUCCUUUAUCAGCCUCACCUUUGAUUUCUAUUUGAUACGAUAAAAAGGGGUAUCCUCUCCGAGAAUGCGUUACAUCGGUCCUUUAUUGUUAAAGUGUUUAUUCGAGUUUCCCAAAAUUAAUAGCAUACAAGGGACGUGCAAAGACGGUCACUCUCUCUAUCUCUCUCUCUCUCUCUCUCUCUCUUAUUAUUAUUAGUAGCAGUAGUACUAGUAGUAGUAACCGUAGGAUAAAAACCGUUCUUGUUAUACACCGCUUUAAUGGCGGUGGGAAGUAUUACGGCUGGUGGUUUCCAUUCGUCCGUAAUAAUUGGACAAAUAUUGCGUUACGAGUAUUUCACGAAUGCCUUAUGGCGGCCCUCGUAGGCGUAGCGUUCAUUGUCCGGUUGUUUUGGAUGAAUACAAAACUUUGGAAUUGAAGACAUACCACGUAAGACCCGGGUCUACAGUUGCACGCACAAAACGUAUAGACGUACACUGGGAGACAUCAAUGCCCUCCCACCCUGCACAGGCGAUGCCGUAUCUGCAGGGGAGGCAUUCGUGUCCGCCAUUGUACAUCUGUGGUUACUCCGUGUCGUUCGAUUUCUCGCUGUAUUAAAUGGCUAAUCUUAGGUACUCCAUUGGCGCACUUUUGUACGAAGCAAUUUUCUAGCAGGAAUUGUUUUGUCGGUAUUUAAAGGUAUCCCGUUGCCGUAGGGUCGGUCACGCCUUUUGUUGGAGCAAUAAAGGCGAGCAAUGGUUUGUUAAUUAUCCUGCGGUUCGGACUACUUUAUGACCUCUGCGCCUACCGGGGAUAUUAGGCCGCCAUAUUGGAAUGAGUUUGGACCAUAGACAGAGGAAUAUAGGAACCGAGCAUAAAAAAAUAAGAUGGUUACUUAAACAAGGGGGACAGCCAUAUUACCACGUCCAAACGUGACGCGAGAUUUGAAUGGGUCUUUCUACCUUUUACAUUGAGAGCAAAAUUAAAGGAGGAAAAAAAUAGUCGUUGGUCUUUUAUCAUUACGUUUUUUU